rnacentral:ncRNA from 1 species
CAUGCUCUCCAUUUCUCAGCUGUGCGAGGACCCAAAAAGGAGGAAAUCAUUCCGUUACGGCUUACGGUGCGGCAGUGUGGAGACCUGUCGUAACGUGCGGCGCCCCUGCGGCUCCGCACAAGGCAGCUUUCGCGGAGGCGUGGCUGUCAAAGCCGGUGAAACAUGGCA